GAUGAACGCUAGCGACAGGCUUAACACAUGCAAGUCGAGGGGCAGCACGGUGUAGCAAUACAUUGGUGGCGACCGGCGCACGGGUGAGUAACGCGUAUGCAACCUACCUAUCAGAGGGGAAUAACCCGGCGAAAGUCGGACUAAUACCGCAUAACGUACGGUCCUCACAUGGGGACUGUACCAAAGAUUUUAUCGCUGGAAGAUGAGCUCGCGGCCGAUUAGGUAGUUGGUGAGAUAACAGCCCACCAAGCCGACGAUCGGUAGCUGGACUGAGAGGUUGAUCGGCCACAUUGGGACUGAGACACGGCCCAG
rnacentral:rRNA from 1 species